rnacentral:rRNA from 1 species
UGCAGUCGAGCGGAUGAGAAGAGCUUGCUCUUCGAUUCAGCGGCGGACGGGUGAGUAAUGCCUAGGAAUCUGCCUGGUAGUGGGGGACAACGUUUCGAAAGGAACGCUAAUACCGCAUACGUCCUACGGGAGAAAGCAGGGGACCUUCGGGCCUUGCGCUAUCAGAUGAGCCUAGGUCGGAUUAGCUAGUUGGUGGGGUAAUGGCUCACCAAGGCGACGAUCCGUAACUGGUCUGAGAGGAUGAUCAGUCACACUGGAACUGAGACACGGGUCCAGACUCCUACGGGAGGCAGCAGUGGGGAAUAUUGGACAAUG